GAGAGCUAGCAAUCCCAUAAACCGUGGCUCAGUUCAGAUCGUAGGCUGCAACUCGCCUACGUGAAGUAGGAAUCGCUAGUAAUCGCAGGUCAGCAUACUGCGGUGAAUACGUUCCCGGGCCUUGUACACACCGCCCGUCACACCAUGGAAGUUGGCCAUGCCCGAAGUCGUUACUCCAACCCUUGUGGAGGAGGACGCCGAAGGUGGGGCCAAUGACUGGGGUGAAGUCGUAACAAGGUAGCCGUACCGGAAGGUGCGGCUGGAUCACCUCCUAA
rnacentral:rRNA from 1 species